CUUCUGGGCCGCGAAGACGGCGGAGACGGCGGAGAGAGGGAGUCUGGGGAUUUUGUUUGGGAUGAGAUUAGGGGAAAAAGAGGACGCAAUGGAGGAGGAGGAGGAAGAGGAGGAGGAGGAGAGGGGUUCCGCUGCGGCGCCGCUGCAGCUUAAGCUCCUUCCUCUCUUGCCUCAUUCCGCGCAGCCUUCGUUUUCCCAGCUGCGGUUCCCAUGGGCGUCCGAGGCCGGGAACGUGGAACUGUCGAUGCGAGGCUUCGAUGUGAACCGAGCGCCGUCUGCCGGGGAAGCCUAGGAGGUGGCGGCGGCGGCGUCGUCGUCGCCCAACAGCACUGUCUCUUCCUUCCAGAUGGAGUUUUCCGCCGGGGGAGACGAGGGCGGAGCGCUGCCGGUGGAAAGGGCCUGUUCGAGAGCGAUGGGGACGUUGUCGACUUAGUGGGUACUUUGUAGAGACGCUUGUGGUGGGGGACAAGCUAGGCGUACUUCCGCACACUAUCCGGGUCUCCCUCGAGGGGGAGCUCUUCGCAGUCGACGCCACAAAUAACAAUAUAGUUCGGAUCACUCCGCCUCUCUCCCAGUGUAAUUCCCCCGUUCCCUUCACUUCCGAGUUUUUCUAUUGCGAUCUACUAUAAGAGAUUGGAAGUUGUAUCAGAUAGCAGAGCAAGAUUUGGUUGCCGGGUCAUUUAAGGGAUUCUCUGGACAUGUAGAGAUGGUAAACCUGCAGAUGCUCGUUUCUAUCGUCCAAAAGGUGCCGCUAUGGAUGACAAAGGGAAUGUGUAUGUUGCUGAUAUCUCCAAUAUGGCUAUUCGAAAGAUAACUGAAUCAGGUGUGACUACUAUUGCUGGAGGAAAAUCAAAUAUAGCAGGUUAUAGAGAUGGCCCGAGUGAGGAUGCUAAGUUUUCUAAUGACUUUGAUGUGAUAUAUGUUGGAAGAACUUGUUCUCUUCUAGUCGUGGACAGGGGUAAUGCUGCUCUUCGCCAAAUUUCUCUUCAGCAAGAGGACUGCCAAUACCAGUAUACUUCAGUAUCAACAUCAGACCAGGAAGAAAAAAGUUGACAACAGACAAGAGAAGUCACCAGCAGCCGAUACUUCGCUGCAGCAUCAGUGCACGGAUGCCACCAGCAGCCUGACCCCCUGCAUGGACUAUGGCAGCGGCAGCAGCGACCGACCCAACAGCGACUGCUGCGACACCGUGAGGAACAUCCGGGGCACAAACCCCGUCUGCCUCUGCUACGCCGUACAGCAGACGCACAACUGCUCCUCCCCCUGGAGCGCCUUAGGGCUCAAGGUCGAACGCCUGCUCAUGCUGCCCGGUGCUUGCAACCUCGACAACUCCAACGCUAGCAAUUGUAACGGAACUACUGUGUUUCUUCUUCUGCUAGUGAAGAGAAACAUCUUGAGGAAGAAAGAGCUGAAAAGGAUAAGAAACGGAGAGUUGAAGCUUUGUCGGUUUUUUCUGAGAUGAUAGAAACUGAUCACAUGAUGGAUUCUUACUGGUCUGACUUGAUAUCUCAUAACCGCCCUACUAAAAUCGAAGUCGAAGUUCAUGCUCCGGCUCAAAGGAAAAAGAGGAAAACUUCAAGACAAACAUCUGCUCUGAUUUCUGUUCCUGUUGUACAAGCCACAGAACAUAUUCAAAUUGGAAUAGCUUGUCCCACUAUGAAGCAAGUGCUAUCCUCAGAUAGGCCCAUAAUCAGUGUCAAUGCAAAGAUAGUCGAUAGGUGUAUGCCUACAGCUUUGGUUUUGAAUUUCAAUAAAUCCAGUCCUCUUCCUUCUGAAGUUGAUCUGAUUAGGAUUUUCUGUCGCUAUGGGCCCAUAGUGGAAGUAGCAACAGAAGUUCAACAGGAGAGCAACAGCGUCAAACUAAUUUUUAAGCGGCUUACUGAUGCCGAGAUGGCUUUUAGUAGUGCCAGAAAAUAUGGAUGGUUUGGGCCAUCACUUCUCAGUUAUCAUCUCAGAUAUCUAUCGUCAACACCAGAUACUUUUGCUGACAUCCAACAAUCAGACAAUUAUGCUGCACUACCAGAACAUAGCAACUUGGAAACUCCAGGGAAUGAUUCUGAACAGUUGCAUUCUUGCUUAUGAGAUUUGGAAGAUGGCAUCAGAGUUUACAAAUCUCAAGUACUCCAGAGUUGAAAUUGAUGAAGUGCGGUUCGAGUGGGCUGA